UGGGGAAUAUUGCACAAUGGGCGAAAGCCUGAUGCAGCAACGCCGCGUGAGUGAUGAAGGCCUUCGGGUUGUAAAGCUCUGUCUUUUGGGACGAUAAUGACGGUACCAAAGGAGGAAGCCACGGCUAACUACGUGCCAGCAGCCGUGGUAAUACGUAGGUGGCAAGCGUUGUCCGGAUUUACUGGGCGUAAAGGAUGCGUAGGCGGAUUUUUAAGUGAGAUGUGAAAACCCUAAGCUUAACUUGGGGACUGCAUUUCAUACUGGAAAUCUAGAGUGCGGGAGAGGAGAAUGGAAUUCCUAGUGUAGCGGUGAAAUGCGUAGAGAUUAGGAAGAACACCAGUGGCGAAGGCGAUUCUCUGGACCGUAACUGACGCUGAGGCAUGAAAGCGUGGGUAGCAAACAGGAUUAGAUACCCUGGUAGUCCACGCCGUAAACGAUGAGUACUAGGUGUAGGAGGUAUCGACCCCUUCUGUGCCGCAGUUAACACAAUAAGUACUCCGCCUGGGAAGUACGAUCGCAAGAUUAAAACUCAAAGGAAUUGACGGGGUCAUAGCUGUUUUU
rnacentral:rRNA from 1 species